GUCUGUGUAGUAUAUUAAUUACCCUGGUCUUGUAAACCAGAAAAGAGGAA
rnacentral:tRNA from 1 species